rnacentral:lncRNA from 1 species
GGUUAACCACUCUGUGUAAGAGAUCAAUGCCAAGUCGAAAGUGCGGUCAUUUCAGGCUGUGGAACAUGCUGGAUUUCAUCUUAUGGAGUAUCUUUCUUCUGGUAGAUAUUUUCAUCUGUUUCAUUUCAUUCUUCAAGUGGCUUAUGACACUGGUAUUAGUGGAGGCUAAAACCGGCAUCUGCCUAUCUCCAUGCAUCAGCCCAGGAGAGCAAUCCCUGUCCUUUCUGAAACUUGGGACGACCAGCAAGCAGUUGUGUGCCUGACCCUGGGCUCAUCAGCACGUGUGCUAGCAACAAGAUGAGAACAGCCUUGAUGCUCUUGACCAUGAUCUUCCAUAAUGGCUUAGUGAAAGUAUUCAAACUUUUAAGUUUGAAAAUUGCAUCAAUGUAAAGCAUUGGGCUAUGCCUAGAAGAAAACAAAAGAAACAGAGAAAGGAUGCUGGUGAGCUGCUUGGUCUGACAGCAGUGGAAAGGUGCCACAUUUUCGCUCAUCUGCCCCUGUGAGUGCUCAGUGGCAGAGGAGUCCUCUUUUUGACUUCAGUGGGAGCUGAAUUUGGCUGGAAGACAGAUCAAAGGCUGACACCCCGGGCAAGAAACACCAAGCACAAUUUAUGCACUGGUGUGAGCGUCGUUCCAUCACCCGUUUUCACACACCCCCCUCAGAUGCCCUUUUUCCAGUGCCAAACCGAACAUAAGAGCCUUGGGAACCCGCUAGCGGCGUCAGGGAGAUGACAGCUCUCCGGCUGGAUGCUGAACGGAAACGCGGGGACUGCUGUGCCUGUUCUCUGCUGAAGGAUCUGCUUUCCUCGUCUCUGGAAGUGCAAGAACAAAAUUCAACCCCUGCUGCCAGAGAGCGCGUAGGACGACAGGUCAGCAUGGCUUACACUUCACGAGCUCUUCUGGCAGAGACACUCAGCCCCCAGCAACGCUUCGUGGCCAAAGUGGCUCCCCUUCUUUUAGUACGGAGACUGCUCUACAGCUCUCUUAUCUGCAUAGCUCAAGCAAACACUGCAGUCAUAAAAUACACCCCCUCUGUAUAUUGA